CCUACGGGUGGCAGCAGUGAGGAAUAUUGGUCAAUGGGCGCGAGCCUGAACCAGCCAAGUAGCGUGAAGGAUGACUGCCCUACGGGUUGUAAACUUCUUUUAUAAAGGAAUAAAGUGAGGUACGUGUCCCUUUUUGUAUGUACUUUAUGAAUAAGGCUCGGCUAACUCCGUGCCAGCAGCCGCGGUAAUACGGAGGUUCCGAGCGUUAUCCGGAUUUAUUGGGUUUAAAGGGAGCGUAGAAGGAUUGUUAAGUCAGUAGUGAAAGUUUGCGGCUCAACCGUAAAAUUGCAUUUGAUACUGGCAGUCUUGAGUGCAGUAGAGGUAGGCGGAAUGCGUGGUGUAGCGGUGAAAUGCUUAGAUAUCACGAAGAACUCCGAUUGCGAAGGCAGCUUACUGGACUGCCACUGACGUUGAUGCUCGAAAGUGUGGGUAUCAAACAGGAUUAGAUACCCCAGUAGUC
rnacentral:rRNA from 1 species